CCGGCAAAUUAAUUUUUUUUUCAUAUUUUUGGCCUCAUUUUUUUCUAGAGCUUUCCUACAGUAACUAAAACUCCUUUUCAAAAUUUGAGAUAAUUUGGAGUUCUUUUACUAAAUUUCUUUAAUUAUUUUUAUUUCAUUGAAUUUUUUCGAAUAUUCCAAAUUUGAACAGUAGGUACAUAAAAUAACAGAAUUUGGUCAUUCAGAAAAUAGUAUUCAUGAUUUUUAGCCUAUAUUGAGACCGUAUCCCGGAACUAGCAUGAAAUUUCGCGCAUCU
rnacentral:lncRNA from 1 species